rnacentral:rRNA from 1 species
GACGAACGCUGGCGGCGUGCUUAACACAUGCAAGUCGAACGGUGAAGCUCCAGCUUGCUGGAGUGGAUCAGUGGCGAACGGGUGAGUAACACGUGAGCAACCUGCCCCUGACUCUGGAAUAAGCGCUGGAAACGGCGUCUAAUACUGGAUACGAGAAGGGUCCGCAUGGGCUCUUUCUGGAAAGUUUUUCGGUUGGGGAUGGGCUCGCGGCCUAUCAGCUUGUUGGUGAGGUAAUGGCUCACCAAGGCGACGACGGGUAGCCGGCCUGAGAGGGCGACCGGCCACACUGGGACUGAGACACGGCCCAGACUCCUACGGGAGGCAGCAGUGGGGAAUAUUGCACAAUGGGCGAAAGCCUGAUGCAGCGACGCCGCGUGAGGGAUGACGGCCUUCGGGUUGUAAACCUCUUUCAGCAGGGAAGAAGCGAAAGUGACGGUACCUGCAGAAGAAGCACCGGCUAACUACGUG